rnacentral:rRNA from 1 species
UACGUAGGCAGCAAGCGUUGUUCGGAAUUACUGGGCGUAAAGAGUGUGUAGGUGGUGCUCCAAGUCUGUUGUGAAAUCUCCCGGCUUAACUGGGAGGGUGCGGCGGAAACUGGUGUGCUUGAGGGUGGGAGAGGUAAGCGGAAUUCCUGGUGUAGCGGUGAAAUGCGCAGAUAUCAGGAGGAACACCGAUGGCGAAGGCAGCUCGCUGGGACGGUACUGACGCUGAGGCGCGAAAGCGUGGGGAGCAAACAGG